rnacentral:rRNA from 1 species
GAUGAACGCUGGCGGCGUGCUUAACACAUGCAAGUCGAACGGAAAGGCCGAAGCUUGCUUCGGUACUCGAGUGGCGAACGGGUGAGUAACACGUGGGUGAUCUGCCCUGUACUUCGGGAUAAGCUUGGGAAACUGGGUCUAAUACCGGAUAUGACGAUCUCUUGGAUGGGGUUGUGGAAAGCUUUUGCGGUAUGGGAUGAGCUCGCGGCCUAUCAGCUUGUUGGUGGGGUAAUGGCCUACCAAGGCGUCGACGGGUAGCCGGCCUGAGAGGGUGUACGGCCACAUUGGGACUGAGAUACGGCCCAGACUCCUACGGGAGGCAGUAGUGGGAAUAUUGCACAAUGGGCGCAAGCCUGAUGCAGCGACGCCGCGUGGGGGAUGACGGCCUUCGGGUUGUAAACUCCUUUCGCAAUCGACGAAGCCUUUUGGUGACGGUAGGUUGAGAAGAAGCACCGGCUAACUACGUG